rnacentral:rRNA from 1 species
AAAUUGAAGAGUUUGAUCAUGGCUCAGAUUGAACGCUGGCGGCAGGCCUAACACAUGCAAGUCGAACGGUAGCACAGAGAGCUUGCUCUCGGGUGACGAGUGGCGGACGGGUGAGUAAUGUCUGGGAAACUGCCUGAUGGAGGGGGAUAACUACUGGAAACGGUGGCUAAUACCGCAUAAUGUCGCAAGACCAAAGAGGGGGACCUUCGGGCCUCUUGCCAUCAGAUGUGCCCAGAUGGGAUUA